rnacentral:rRNA from 1 species
GUACACGCUGUGACUAGCAUAUCAAUAAGCGGAGGAAAAGGAAACUAACAAGGAUUCCCUAGUAACGGCGAGUGAAGCGGGAAGAGCUCAAAUUUGAAAUCUUAAAGGUUUUCCCUUGACGAAUUGUAGUUUAAAGAAGUGUUUUCUGUUGAGGUUUUGGUAAAAGUUCUUUGGAAUAGGACAUCAUAGAGGGUGAGAAUCCCGUAUUUGACCUUUACUUUCAACUUUGUGAUAGCACUUUCAAAGAGUCGGAUUGUUUGGGAAUGCAGUCCAAAAUGGGUGGUAAAUUUCAUCUAAAGCUAAAUAUUGGCGAGAGACCGAUAGCGAACAAGUACCGUGAGGGAAAGAUGAAAAGAACUUUGAAAAGAGAGUUAAACAGUACGUGAAAUUGUCAAAAGGGAAGCGUUUGACACCAGUGUUGUCUUUCUGAAAAUCAAUUAAAGAACUGUUUAUGCUAAGUUGUUUAGACUUUAUCAGCUAACUGUUUAGUUUUGAGCUUUUCUUUAAUGCACUUUUCAGUUAACAAGUCAACAUCAAUUUCUUUUGCUGUAAAAAAGCUUGAGGAAGGUGGCUUGAGAUUCGUCUUAAGUGUUUAUAGCCUCUUGCCUAUGCAGUCGGAGAGAUUGAGGUCUGCAGCGUAGAUCCUUCGGGGCUAAAUGCAUUUGUGCUAAGUUAUAGCAUUUUAUAGACAACUUGUUGACUAUAAUUAGUCUUGUAGCUUACUCGCUUAUGCUAUUUUACCUACGCUUAGGAUGUUGAGCGCAUGUCUCUCUCU